rnacentral:lncRNA from 1 species
CGUGCAAAGACAUAAACGGAAAGAAGCAAACACACACAGUGGCAGAAGUGAAAGAGCUAGCAGAAACAGACAGGUAGAGAGAGAACAGGAACAGAAUGAGGUGGUUUGGGUAAGUAUGAGGUGAUAGUAAGGAAGUCUGAACGGAGUGGGGAGAGAAUGGGGGUGCAUAUUAUUUUCUACCUCUUGCUUUUUUUUGUCGCUGUUGCUGUAGGACCUGAUGGCAUGAAACGUAGGUAAGACGAUUUUCGCAGAAGAAUCAAGACCUUGAAUCCUGACUGUCAUUGUUCCAGUUUGAACAACCCCCUGGAGAGCUCCAGGUCCCCCCAGGAGUACCAACCUCAGCAUCAUUUUAAUGGCUUAACACCAAAACAACCAGCUGGAAAAAGCAACUGGAGUUGAGGACUGCUGCCGCCAUUCACCAGCACACACACAGAUGCCAGACCAAGAAAAACCCUGCCUUUCCUGGAACAGAACUUCCAGCUGUCCCUCAUGGCUGGAACUUGGAUGAGAACAACUCUUCUCCAUCUGCCAAACAGCACUGGGAUAACAUGGGCUGCCUUAGCAUGGACAAUGGGGUAACAGGUUUAAGUGAGGAGCAGGAUGAGAAUGAGCCUAGUGGAGACCAGGAGCCAUGGCAAGACCUGAGGACUAGGGCAGCUGAGGUAGGGUAUGUGGACACUGGCCUUGAGCCAGCCCUGCCUAGAAAUUGGCAUAGCCAGGGAUCUACAACGUCAAAUUGCCCGGAGGCAUAUUGCACAGACUAGGGGGAGAAGAAAGAAGCCUGGAGCCUAGGGCACAGAAUCCUUUGUGGACAGUGUACCAAGCUACGCUGGGAACGAAAACAGGCGAUGUUGGAAUUCAUUCACACAGAAGCCAGCUAUGGGGAGGACCUGCACAUCAUCAAGGAACAGUUUCAGUUGCCUAUGCAGUCUGCCAGACUGCUGAACCCCGGACAGCUGCUAGUUGUGUUCAGCAACAUCCAGGAGCUCAUUGAUCUCAAUGAGAGAUUUCUGGAGAGCCUGCAGCAAGAGAUUGCCCAAGCACUGUCACAGGGUGAUGACGACCUGAUGACUGUGUGCAUUGGUGAGAUCUUCCUGGAGUAUAUCAACAUGUUGCCUGCUUUCCAGACUUACUGUCUUCAGCAAGCAUUCUCCAUGAGCACUCUCAGCACCCUGGAGAAGGAAAAGGAGCUACUUCGCAUUUUCCUCCACGCCUCUCAAACCAACAACACGGCACUGAGACGGAUGAAUCUGCACUCAUUCCUGAUGGCACCAUUGCAGCGAAUCACCAAAUAUCCACUUCUGUUGAGCUGA